CAAGGAAAACCUCUAGUUAGAGCCAUGGCUCAUCCUGAGCACACGAGGGCUGUGACACAAGGGACAUGCAGCCCCCGGAGCCCUUACCGUCAUUGAAGUCGCGGCCCAGCUCGUGGUUGGGGCAGCGUUUCACCACCUCGGUGACGUGCUCUGCCUUCUUGUAGACGGGCAUGGCCCGGAUGAUGGUGCCCGGGGGUGGCGAGGUGGACACUUUGAUCUGGAUGGGGCAUGUCUUGGCAAUCUGACAGUAGAGCUUCUUCAGCAGCGGGGAGUACUGGAAAAGAGGGGAGAUUCCUCAGCAGAUACAGCCACCUCCUGAGGCAGGGAAGGGUUUCCUAGAUGGGCAAAGGCUCUGGCAGAGCAGGCACUACUGCACUGAGACAGAGGGAAUCUCACUGGAAAACAGGAGACAUCCCUCAGGCACCUGGACUCACCCAACAAGAGAGGAUGCUUGGAAACCCCUACUGAAAUCCCAAAAUUUUGUACUCAUACCGGAUGAUGCUGACUACACCUUGACUCCAUGGCCAGGAGCUUGGUACCACAAAGGGCCUUUGGAUGUGUUUGAAAUGCAGCUGCUUUUUGGGUGAGAUGAGACCAUGCUGCACCACUGCUAGAUGGAACAGGACAUAAACCAGUCACCCCAUGGUGCCACCGGCCACUGUGAGGUUUCACCAUGGUUAUCCUGCUGCUGCUGCCCCAAGGAAAUGUUCUGGACACCACAAGAUUCCACUGAGUAAAUGCCCCACAAUGAUUCGUGGAUGCAGUGCUGACGUGGAACCUCAGCAUCCAUCACUGCCCACCCUGAGAGAGGACCAGGAGAUAGCUCCAGAGGCCGCCACUGCUCAGCCCUGGGGCUACCUCCCCAUGCAGGAAAUGAGCAGGGAGAGGUGGUUUUCCCCAUGGAUGCUGACAGCUUCACACAAAAAAUAACCUGAGUCCUCUGCUGGAAAGACUUCCUGGUGAAGUCCAUCUCGCCCGGCCGUCCCUGGGCAGCAGAACCGCUAGGAGGAUGUGUCCCAACAGAUUUGGAGCUGAUAAAAUCUUAUUUAUCUUCAACUGUUGACACCUAAGCGUCUAGACUUGCCUGUUGGGGAAGGCGCAGCCAAGGCCUCCUUUCCCUCUAGAAGGAAAUGAUUUGCUCAACAAUUGCUUUUUCCACAAAUCCUCCCCUCCUCCUCCUCCUCUUCUCCUACAUUCCAGGCUUCUCAUUAGCUUUACUCAAGACGUGUCCAGGACUGCAGUCAA